UGAGAUAUAGCUCAGUGUUAGAGUACUCGCCUAGUGUGUGUGAGAGCCUAGGUUCAAUCCACAGUACCACAA
rnacentral:tRNA from 1 species